rnacentral:misc_RNA from 1 species
AAGUCGUAACAAGGUUUCCGUAGGUGAACCUGCGGAAGGAUCAUUAUCAAAUUAUCCAAAACCUAAUGGGUAGUUCCUGGAAACAGGAAUUACCCUAAAACCAAACGUGAACUGUGUUUUGCCUCUAAUUGACGUGGAUGUAAAAAAACAAAAUGGGAAAGGAAACUUUUCUAUUUUGUUUUUGUCAGUUAGAGUGUAUUUUUUCUAAUUACAUCUACACACUUUUAACCAAUUGAACCGUUUUAAUUUUAUAUUGAAUUGUUUGAACUGAAUUUGUUUCUUACCUUCACUUUUCAACCAAAAGAGGAGGAAGAAAACAUAAUUUACGAAACAAUAAUAAUAAAUAUAACUCUUAGCAACGGAUAUCUUGGUUCUC